rnacentral:rRNA from 1 species
GAUGAACGCUGGCGGCAUGCCUAAUACAUGCAAGUCAUACGGGAAGUAGCAAUACUUCUAGUGGCGAACGGGUGAGUAACACGUGGGCAACCUGCCCUGAAGACGAGGAUAACAGUUGGAAACGACUGAUAAUACUGGAUAACAAACAUUCUCGCAUGAGUUUGUUUUGAAAGGCGCUUUCAAGCGCCACUUCAGGAGGGGCCUGCGGCGCAUUAGCUAGUUGGUGAGGUAACGGCCCACCAAGGCGAUGAUGCGUAGCUGCGCUGAGAGGCGAAACAGCCACAUUGGGACUGAGAACGGCCCAAACUCCUACGGGAGGCAGCAGUGGGGGAAUAUUGGGCAAUGGGGGAAACCCUGACCCAGCAACGCCGCGUGAGUGAUGAAGGUUUUCGGACCGUAAAGCUCUUUGUUAUGACGAAUGUGCAUAAUGUGAACAAUGUGUGUAAUGACGUAGU